UUACUAGUCAAUUCUGAGGGA
rnacentral:snRNA from 1 species